rnacentral:rRNA from 1 species
AACGAACGCUGGCGGCGUGCUUAACACAUGCAAGUCGAACGGUAAGGCCCUUCGGGGUACACGAGUGGCGAACGGGUGAGUAACACGUGGGUGAUCUGCCCUGCACUUUGGGAUAAGCCUGGGAAACUGGGUCUAAUACCGGAUAGGACCACGGCCUGCAUGGGUUGUGGUGGAAAGCUUUUGAGGUGUGGGAUGGGCCCGCGGCCUAUCAGCUUGGUGGUGGGGUGAUGGCCUACCAAGGCGACGACGGGUAGCCGGCCUGAGAGGGUGUCCGGCCACACUGGGACUGAGAUACGGCCCAGACUCCUACGGGAGGCAGCAGUGGGGAAUAUUGCACAAUGGGCGCAAGCCUGAUGCAGCGACGCCGCGUGGGGGAUGACGGCCUUCGGGUUGUAAACCUCUUUCACCAGGGACGAAGCGCAAGUGACGGUACCUGGAGAAGAAGCACCGGCCAACUACGUGCCAGCAGCCGCCGUAAUAC